UGGGGAAUUUUGGACAAUGGGCGAAAGCCUGAUCCAGCAAUGCCGCGUGUGUGAAGAAGGCCUUCGGGUUGUAAAGCACUUUUGUCCGGAAAGAAAUCCUUGGCUCUAAUACAGUCGGGGGAUGACGGUACCGGAAGAAUAAGCACCGGCUAACUACGUGCCAGCAGCCGCGGUAAUACGUAGGGUGCAAGCGUUAAUCGGAAUUACUGGGCGUAAAGCGUGCGCAGGCGGUUUGCUAAGACCGAUGUGAAAUCCCCGGGCUCAACCUGGGGACUGCAUUGGUGACUGGCAGGCUAGAGUAUGGCAGAGGGGGGUAGAAUUCCACGUGUAGCAGUGAAAUGCGUAGAGAUGUGGAGGAAUACCGAUGGCGAAGGCAGCCCCCUGGGCCAAUACUGACGCUCAUGCACGAAAGCGUGGGGAGCAAACAGGAUUAGAUACCCUGGUAGUCCACGCCCUAAACGAUGUCAACUAGUUGUUGGGGAUUCAUUUCCUUAGUAACGUAGCUAACGCGUGAAGUUGACCGCCUGGGGAGUACGGUCGCAAGAUUAAAACUCAAAUGAAUUGACGGGGU
rnacentral:rRNA from 1 species